rnacentral:rRNA from 1 species
GACGCACGCUGGCGGCGUGCUUAACACAUGCAAGUCGAGCGGAGCGGCGAACGGGUGAGUAACGCGUGAGUAACUGCCCCCCUCUCUGGGAUAACAGUUGGAAACGGCUGCUAAUACCGGAUAGUGGGGGAUGACGCGCGUCCUAGCAGUUUGUUGGGGGGGUAGUGGCGUACCAAGGCGACGACGGGUAGCCGGCAUGGGAUGGCGACCGUCCACAUUGGGCUGAGAUACGGCCCAAACUCCUACGGGAGGCAGCAGUGGGGAAUAUUGCACAAUGGGGGAAACCCUGAUGCAGCAACGCGCGGGCGGGAUGACGGCCUUGGGGUUGUAAACCGCUUUCAGCCAUGACGCGGUAGUGGCAGAAGAAGCACCGGCUAACUACGUGCCAGCAGCCGCGGUAAUUC